CAAUGUUGCUGCCUGGAAUUGCAGCAGGAGCUCCUUCCAUAUUAGACCAUGUGAUUUUAAAGAUGUACUUCCUUGCCUUCAUGUCAAAUACAAAGUGAAAUGAUGGCCUUAAAAACUGUAAGUUGGACAGAGAAAGAGAAAGAAUAGGAUUCCUCAGAUGUGAGCCUGUAAAUUGGUCUAAAG
rnacentral:lncRNA from 12 species